rnacentral:misc_RNA from 1 species
UCAGCGGGUAACCUCGCCUGACGUGAAGUCAAAUUUAGGGGGGGUACUUCUGGCACGAGGAGCGGGCACCGGGAUCAGAGGCGUGUUCACUACUCUGCGGGUGCAAGCUGACCUCGGCCGAGGCAUUGCGGGCAGCGGCGGACCCGACGGUCGCCGUCCCCAUCACCGAGUCGGACUCGAGUGUUUGAAUGACGUUCACGCAGACGUGCCCACCGGAAUACCAGGGGGCGCAAUGUGCGUUCAAAGAUUCGAUGAUUCACGGAAUUCUGCAAUUCACAUUACUUAUCGCAUUUCGCUGCGUUCUUCAUCGAUGCGAGAACCA